UCUACGGGAGGCAGCAGUGGGGAAUAUUGCACAAUGGGGGAAACCCUGAUGCAGCGACGCCGCGUGAAGGAAGAAGUAUUUCGGUAUGUAAACUUCUAUCAGCAGGGAAGAAAAUGACGGUACCUGACUAAGAAGCCCCGGCUAACGACGUGCCAGCAGCCGCGGUAAUACGGAGGGGGCAAGGGUUAUCCGGAUUUACUGGGUGUAAAGGGGGCGCAGACGGCACUGCAAGCCAGGAGGGAAAGCCCGGGGCCCAACCCCGGGACUGCUCUUGAAACUGCAUGGCUGGAGUACUGGAGGGGCAGGCGGAAUUCCUAGUGUAGCGGUGAAAUGCGUAGAUAUUAGGAGGAACACCGGUGGCGAAGGCGGCCUGCUGGACUGUGACUGACGUUGAGGCCCGAAGGCGUGGGGAGCAAACAGGAUUAGAUACCCGGGUAGUC
rnacentral:rRNA from 1 species